UACGUAUGGGGCGAGCGUUAUCCGGAUUCAUUGGGCGUAAAGCGCGCGUAGGCGGCUCGCCAAGCGGGACCUCCAAUCCCGGGGCUCAACCCCGGGCCGGGUCCCGAACUGGCGGGCUCGAGUUCGGUAGGGGGAGGCGGAAUUCCCGGUGUAGCGGUGAAAUGCGCAGAUAUCGGGAAGAACACCGAUGGCGAAGGCAGCCUCCUGGGCCGCGAACUGACGCUGAGGUGCGAAAGCCGGGGGAGCGAAC
rnacentral:rRNA from 1 species